rnacentral:rRNA from 1 species
GGUGAACGCUGGCGGCGUGCCUAAUACAUGCAAGUCGAGCGAACGGACGAGAAGCUUGCUUCUCUGAUGUUAGCGGCGGACGGGUGAGUAACACGUGGAUAACCUACCUAUAAGACUGGGAUAACUUCGGGAAACCGGAGCUAAUACCGGAUAAUAUUUUGAACCGCAUGGUUCAAAAGUGAAAGACGGUCUUGCUGUCACUUAUAGAUGGAUCCGCGCUGCAUUAGCUAGUUGGUAAGGUAACGGCUUACCAAGGCAACGAUGCAUAGCCGACCUGAGAGGGUGAUCGGCCACACUGGAACUGAGGCACGGUCCAGACUCCCACGGGAGGCAGCAGUAGGGAAUCUUCCGCAAUGGGCGAAAGCCUGACGGAGCAACGCCGCGUGAGUGAUGAAGGUCUUCGGAUCGUAAAACUCUGUUAUUAGGGAAGAACAUAUGUGUAAGUAACUGUGCACAUCUUGACGGUACCUAAUCAGAAAGCCACGGCUAACUACGUG